UUACAGAAACGCUUAAUCCAACUUCUACAUGAAAAACCAGUUGUUUAUGCCACUGACCAGUUGGAAUUUUUAGAUGCCUCUGACCUCAUCCUGGUCUUGCAAAAAUGUCAUUUAGCUGAUAUUGUAAAGUAGGAUCUAAGAGGCUUCUUGAUGCACCAGUCGCAGAAGACGGAGAAAACAUGAGUGUGGGUCAAAGGCAGAUUGUGUGCCUAGCUAGGGUGUUGCUACUGAAAAGGCGAAUAUUGGUACUUGAUGAAGCUACUGCUUCAGUGGAUACAGAGACGGACAAUGUCAUUCAGAAAACUAUAAGAGAAGAAACAAAUGGAUGUAUAGUCAGAACAGUUGAUGUGGCAUUGUGUAGUACAGAAUCACAAACUGACAUCAAGAAAUACAACAAGUGGAGCAGCUACUCCAAAAGAGUAUUUCUUAUAUCUGCCAGCGGAACAUGAAACAUGCAGGAUAUGUACAGUGUUUAUUCUUAAAACCCUAACUCAUAUAUAGUUCAUGUUCUUAAAUUAGCUAUUUUAUGCUGAAAGAAUUUUCAAAUAGCAAUCCAUUGCGUCAGUAAUAAGACUUACUUCUUGAUGUAAUCAAUAACCUGAAUAGAGUUUUCUAUGGUUCAUCAUAACUGACCUUUAAUUUGUGUCUGAAUCUUGUUUAAAUAUCGAUAAUGUGAGUAUCAGGUGAUUAACCUCUCAACGUCCCUCAAACAUGACUUUAGCGGGAAAAAUAAAUUACAGUAUCUGUAAUUUGUAAUAUCUGUUAUUCCUUCAGGGGUGAUGACAUUGAUAGAUAUAAAUAGUUACAUUACAUCACACACUUCUGCUCAAGUAUUAUCAUGUUGCUUAGCUGCUGAAUACACCAGGAUUAUCUUUCGGCUCUCAAGGCCACUGUUGGAGCUUCACAGGAGUCCACUGGUGCUUCAAAAGACUAACUGCCUAGGCUAAUGUUACAAAGCUCCAUGCCAGGUUCUAGUUCAUUGCUCAGAAUCCAAGUUUUUCUUUUCUUUAUGUAGGCUUGUGAAGUUGAGUGAUAUUGAGAAUGUCUAGACAUAUACUUAAUUUUAAGAUUAUUGAAAUUUCAAGUGGAUGCCUAGCAGAUUAACCCUUUUCCAGAUGAUAUAUGGCAUUGGUGGAUUGUCCAUUGCCCCCUACGCUUGAGUUACUCACUCGCAGUGAAAUUUGCUCUUCUUCAGUCUGCAAUAAAGAACUGCACCACGUGACAAGGAAGAUACUGAGUAAAGUUAAAUGUCAGUAAAACAGUUCCUGCUUCCCGUGAUCCAAAAAACAAGCUUUGGAACCAUGCUUCACAAACUAUUUUAGACAGCUUGCAACCCACUAUUAUGUGGGGCUAUUUGCAUAACAGUAGUUCAACUUAGCAUUAUUAUAUAAAGAAAAAGUAAUGUCCAAUCCUUAUAUUCAUAUUUAACUAUUUUGUAUGAUAUAAAGUUGGAGCACAUUUUUGUGAAUAGUUCUUUUAUGAGGAUGAAUGUUGAAACCUUUUACUCAAA